AGAACCCCAAAGCUGAAAAUUGUAGAUUUUAUUAAAUUUCAAGGUAGGGUGGGGGUGUCGAUGUAGGUCAAAAGAUGGUUUUUACAUUUAUUUAUUUACUAUUGUUUAUGUAUAGUGGAUUGAAUUCAGGGGUACUUUAUCACCGGGCUACAUUUGCAGUUUUUUUUAUUUCUCAUUUUGAUACAGGGUCUCACUAAGUUGCUGAGGCUCUCCUGGAACUUGUAAUCCUCUGCUUUAGCCUUCAUCUGCCACAGCUUGUUGCUGUGACACAUGCUGUUUUCCUAUCAUUCUACCACUACAUGUUCACCAACGAAACUAAUUUUUUAGUAGAGCACAUAAAACACAACUGGAGGUACAUAUCUAUUGUCAAAGGAAGAAAUUGGUCAUAGAAUACAUUCUAAGACAAAAUGUGAAGUUUUGAGGGGAGGGACUUCUCUUUUAACCAAUUUCUAGUCCAUUUGUCCUUUGUGAUUACUUUUUGUUGGGGCCAAAAAUAUAAAUAAAUAAAACCCCCAAAACAAACUGUCAACCAUGUGUCCCAUUAAUUCCUACUGUUGCCUUUGAAACCAAACCAAAACACAAGGAUAACAAGGCAGAGCCCAACACUGCUAAUGGCAACAAAAGUUAACCAAGCAAACAACAACCAAAAAAGCCUGUGGGAUUUGACUUGUUACUUUUGUGGAGAGCUCAGUCAUGUGAAGGCUUUUUUUAGGUAUUCCAUGCUAAGUUACAUAGGACAAAAAAAAAAUUAUCUGCCCAUAUGUGAGUAUCUAGUAAUGUUACUAGAAUUAAUACUGCAGACAGGCUGGGAUUGUGGCUCAGCGGUAGAGUGCUCCCCUAGCACGGGCGGGACCUAGGUUCGAUCCUCAGCACCACAUAAAAA
rnacentral:lncRNA from 1 species